GAGCUCUUUCCCGGCUGGAACCAUGGAGGUUGCAGAAGAGAAGAAAAAGAAGGUUCCUGCUGUGCCAGAAACCCGUAAGAAAAAGCGGAAGAAUUUCGCAGAGCUUAAGAUCAAGCGACUGAGAAAGAAGUUUGCCCAAAAGAUGCUUCGAAAGGCAAGGAGGAAGCUUAUCUAUGAAAAAGCUAAGCAUUACCACAAGGAAUACAGGCAGAUGUACAGAACUGAAAUUCGAAUGGCUAGGAUGGCACGAAAAGCCGGCAACUUCUAUGUACCCGCGGAACCCAAAUUGGUGUUUGUCAUCAGGAUCAGAGGUAUCAACAGUGUGAGCCCAAAGGUUCGAAAGGUGCUGCAGCUCCUUCGCCUCCGCCAGAUCUUCAACGGCACCUUUGUGAAGCUCAACAAGGCAUCAAUUAAUAUGCUGAGAAUUGUGGAGCCAUACAUUUCGUGGGGGUACCCAAAUCUGAAGUCUGUAAAUGAAUUGAUCUACAAGCGUGGUUAUGGCAAAAUCAGCAAAAAGCGAAUUGCCCUGACAGACAAUGCAUUGAUUGCUCGAUCUCUUGGGAAAUAUGGAAUCAUCUGCAUGGAGGAUCUGAUUCAUGAGAUCUAUACCGUUGGAAAACGUUUCAAAGAAGCAAACAACUUCCUGUGGCCCUUUAAAUUGUCUUCUCCACGAGGUGGAAUGAAGAAAAAGACCACCCAUUUUGUAGAAGGUGGAGAUGCUGGCAGCAGGGAAGACCAGCUCAACAGGCUUAUUAGAAGGAUGAACUAAGGUAUCUACCAGGAUUAUUUUUGCGUUCUGGUUAAUAAACAAUUGAAACAAAUUGAAAUGUACUGUCUUGGUUGACUUUUAUCUUUCCUUUGCAAAUCUUGGUGCGACAAGAUUAAGUCAAAUCAACAGCCUGGCCUCUUGGAUGCAAAACUUAGGGUCCAGCCUGUGUCUUGUGAAAAACAUUCCUUGGGUUUAUUGAAGAUUUUCCUGUACAAAAAAAAUCCUGAUUUUCCAUUUUCAGUUGGCCAAACUGGGUCUAAUCUAAGAAAGCCUAUUUCAUAGGCCUUUGUGCAUGAUGAAAAGUUCAGUUUACAGAUUAAAAAUGUUGCAGAAAUUCAA